rnacentral:misc_RNA from 1 species
GAUGAAGAACGCAGCGAAAUGCGAUAAGUAGUGUGAAUUGCAGAAUUCAGUGAAUCAUCGAAUCUUUGAACGCACAUUGCGCCCCUUGGUAUUCCAUGGGGCAUGCCUGUUCGAGCGUCAUUUGUACCUUCAAGCUUUGCUUGGUGUUGGGCGUCUUGUCUCUAGCUUUGCUGGAGACUCGCCUUAAAGUAAUUGGCAGCCGGCCUACUGGUUUCGGAGCGCAGCACAAGUCGCACUCUCUAUCAGCAAAGGUCUAGCAUCCAUUAAGCCUUUUUUUUCAACUUUUGACCUCGGAUCAGGUAGGGAUACCCGCUGAACUUAAGCAUAUCAAUAAGCGGAGGA